rnacentral:lncRNA from 1 species
GGUUCUCGACCAAUUGCCUGAGCAGUUCAAAUUCUUCGAAGCAACGACAUAAAGGAUUUUUUGUCAGAAUUUUCUAUACUUCUCUAAUUUGGUCUCCUCGAUUUUACGAAAAAAAUUUCGGUAUUUUCUUGGAGUUUUCGUUGGAACAAGAGAAUAGAAUUUUCUAUACUUCUCUAAUUUGGUCUCCUCGAUUUUACGAAAAAAAUUUCGGUAUUUUCUUGGAGUUUUCAUUGGAACAAGAGAAUGGUGGGAUUCACCAUAAGGCUCUUGGUUUUUUAUCCGGAGAAGACAUAAGGUGUAAGCCUGUGUAACAACCCAGCCUACUAGCAACAAUAACUCGUUGGGCCCAAACACCGGCCCAAAAUGCUUAAGCCCAGUUAUUAUUAUUAAUGUCUAAGUCUCUAAUAUACCCAAUCACAUCCCUAUUCCUAUCCGAUGUGAGAUUAUUGGGGUAUGACAAACUCCCCCCGUUGAGGCCCUGACGUCCUCGUCAAUCCAAAUACACACACAGCCCAAGAUCACCAGGCGAUGUGAGACGCGCCUCGCUAGCUUUGUCAUCUAGACCCUAGCAUAGCCGAUCACCUUGUCAUACAGACUCCGACAUAGCCUAUCACCUUGUCUUUCAGACCCUGGCUCAGCCAAACCCUGGCUCAGCCAGACUAGCCACACA